AACUUUCGACAACGGAUCUCUCGGCUCUCGCAUCGAUGAAGAACGCAGCGAAAUGCGAUACGUCAUGUGAAUUGCAGAAUUCAGUGAAUCAUCGAAUCUUUGAACGCACCUUGCGCCCCUUGGCAUUCCGAGGGGCACACCCGAUUGAGUGUCGUGAAAUUCUCAAAACCUUUUCCUUUGCCGGAAAGGAUUUUGGACUUGGCGUCCUUUUGCUGGUUUCACCUCGAAGCGAGCUCCUCCCAAAUGGUUUAGUGGGGUCUGCUUUGACGAUCCUUGACGUGAUAAGAUGCUUCUACGUCUCGGGUUUUGGCACUGUGCCUCUGCUUCUAACCGUCUCAUUGACAACGAUGGUGUUCCGGUCACCGCCGAUUCGUCGGUGGGAGGCUUGACCCACAAAACGACCUUGACCUCAAAUCGGGUGAGACUACCCGCUGAACUUAAGCAUAUCAAUAAGCGGAGGCU
rnacentral:misc_RNA from 1 species